rnacentral:rRNA from 1 species
CCUACGGGUGGCAGCAGUAGGGAAUUUUCGGCAAUGGGGGGAACCCUGACCGAGCAACGCCGCGUGAACGAAGAAGUUAUUCGUAAUGUAAAGUUCUUUUUACAGGGAAGCAAGAGAACUUUGACGGUACCUGAAGAAUAUGCCCCGGCUAACUACGUGCCAGCAGCCGCGGUCAUACGGAGGGAGAGUGCGUUAUCCGGAAUUAUUGGGCGUAAAGGGUGCGUAGAUGGCAUAGUAAGUCUUUGGUAAAAAUGCUGGGCUCAACCCAGUAGGGCAAAAGAUACUGCAAAGCUAGAGUAUGACAGAGGCAAGUGGAACGAGAGGUGUAGCGGUGAAAUGCGUAGAUAUAUGUAAGAACACCAGUGGCGAAGGCAGCUUGCUGGGUCGAUACUGACAUUGAGGCACGAAAGCGUGGGGAGCGAACAGGAUUAGAUACCCUGGUAGUC